UUACACAGUUUGUAGAAAGAUGAAUUCACUAUUUGCACUCGGGUACAGAUAGUGUUCAUGUUGAUUAUUUGCACUCGGUAGCAAAUAGUCAUUUCGAAUUUUUUUUUGAAACUUUGACAAUAAAUGAAAGAA